rnacentral:rRNA from 1 species
AUAGUGGGCGAAUUAGUGGGCUGCCGUUGUUAAAACGGAGGAAGGAGGGGCUACGGCAGGUCAGUAUGCCCCGAAACUCUGGGGCCACACGCGGGCUGCAAUGGAUGCGACAAUGAGCUCCAAACUCGAAAGAGAGUGGCAAUCUCUAAACGCUACCACAGUUAUGACUGAGGGCUGUAACUCGCCCUCACGAAAUUGGAAUCCCUAGUAACCGCGUGUCAUUACCGCGCGGUGAAUACGUCCCUGCUCCUU